GACGAACGCUGGCGGCGUGCUUAACACAUGCAAGUCGAACGGAAAGGCCUUUUCGGAGGUACUCGAGUGGCGAACGGGUGAGUAACACGUGGGUGAUCUGCCCUGCACUCUGGGAUAAGCCUGGGAAACUGGGUCUAAUACCGGAUAGGACCGCACUUUAGUGUGUGUGGUGGAAAGUUUUUUCGGUGUAGGAUGAGCCCGCGGCCUAUCAGCUUGUUGGUGGGGUAAUGGCCUACCAAGGCGGCGACGGGUAGCCGGACUGAGAGGUUGGUCGGCCACAUUGGGACUGAGAUACGGCCCAGACUCCUACGGGAGGCAGCAGUGGGGAAUAUUGCACAAUGGGCGCAAGCCGGAUGCAGCGACGCCGCGUGGGGGAGGACGGCCUUCGGGUUGGAAACUCCUUUCGCCAGGGACGAAGCGUUUUGUGACGGUACCUGGAGAAGAAGCACCGGCUAACUACGUG
rnacentral:rRNA from 1 species